rnacentral:sRNA from 1 species
GUUUAAUGCACACCAGCCAAAAAGUCAGCAAACAUCGCUUUAUCACCUUGGAUAUUAAUUUUAAAAGUUUCUGGUUCCUUUUCCUAAACCCAAUGCUUGCAAUUGACACGAAAUUUCACAUUACUGUCAUACACAUAUUUUUGUGACCUUGUUAUUAUUAACGUCUUUAUGACAAUUACAAAAUAUCACAUAUAAAAUCAAAACCGAGCAAGAGGCAUCAUUUAUUCGUUGGGAAGCUAGGUUGUAGAUGUGAAUGAUUACAUCUCAUUUUGACAGAUAUGGAUGUCAUUAGUUGUUCCAAUAACAUGAAUAAUCCAAUUGAAUUCGUUAUUAUGAGUUCAAUAUAUACGAUGUUUUUCUUCAAAUUUCCUGAUUACAUAAUCUAAACACACCUAUGAGAUCUUUAACGUAAUGAAUUGUGUGUCAGAAGUGUCAAUUUUCUUAUUAUAUGUUGUGUACGCCAACGCUUUGUGUUUCGAAGGUUUUAAAUAUGAUUUACUUUAUUCAUAGUAAUGUGUUAACCGUUGAGAAGUAUCCUUGGAAUUGACAUUUUCAAUAUUCAUAUACAGUUUUAAAUACUAUGUAUAUAGUCUGAUUUUAAAAUUAUACACAUAUUGUGUCAUAGAGUACCUUACACUUCAAGUGAGAUUGUGUGUUAAGUUGUCUUUUUAAUUGAGAAUUCAGUGAUUGAUAAACAUGUCAUUUUAUAAAAAAAACUACUAAUAUGUAAAUAUCUUAUUAACAACAGUUUAUAUAAACUGAAGAAGAUGUGUGUAGAAAUAAAGACUGCUUC